GCCUGGAUAGCUCAGAUAGUUAGAGUGUGGUGUUGAUAACACCAAGGUUGCAGGUUCGAUCCCCUCAUGAGACA